AAACUUUCAACAACGGAUCUCUUGGCUCCAGCAUCGAUGAAGAACGCAGCGAAAUGCGAUAAGUAAUGUGAAUUGCAGAAUUCAGUGAACCAUCGAAUCUUUGAACGCACAUUGCGCCCGCCGGCAUUCCGGCGGGCAUGCCUGUCCGAGCGUCAUUU
rnacentral:rRNA from 2 species